rnacentral:lncRNA from 1 species
AUCUCAAUCUCUGCUCAAAAUAUUUAAAAUAAAUAAAACUUUUUUUAAAAAAAAAAUAGACACGUACAGAACUUAUUUGAACUAUGACUAUUUUGAAGUACAAUUUUUCAAAAGUUCAAUUUUACUGUCCAAUCUUUUAAUUUAUUUGAUUUAAAUUGGUCAAACGAAAUCUAAAUUUUAAAAGAUUAAUUGGAUGGCCGAUUUAAAAUCGUCCAUAGUUCAUAUUUGAAAAGAUGGCAUAG